GACGAACGCUGGCGGCGUGCUUAACACAUGCAAGUCGAGCGGUAAGGCUCCUUCGGGAGUACACGAGCGGCGAACGGGUGAGUAACACGUGAGUAAUCUGCCCUUCACUUCGGGAUAACCGCCGGAAACGGUGGCUAAUACCGGAUACGACGCACUCCCGCAUGGGAUGUGCGUGGAAAGUCUUAUCGGUGGAGGAUGUGCUCGCGGCCUAUCAGCUUGUUGGGGGGGUAACGGCCCACCAAGGCUUCGACGGGUAGCCGGCCUGAGAGGGUGACCGGCCACACUGGGACUGAGACACGGCCCAGACUCCUACGGGAGGCAGCAGUGGGGAAUAUUGGACAAUGGGCGAAAGCCUGAUCCAGCAACGCCGCGUGAGGGAUGACGGCCUUCGGGUUGUAAACCUCUUUCAGUACCGACGAAGCGCCAACAACGGUGGUGACGGUAGGUACAGAAGAAGGACCGGCCAACUACGUGCCAGCCGCCGCUGUAAAAC
rnacentral:rRNA from 1 species